rnacentral:rRNA from 1 species
UGAGUAAUAUAUCGGAACGUGCCCAGUCGGUGGGGGAUAACGUAGAGAAAUUUACGCUAAUACCGCAUACGAUACUAAGGGAUGAAAGGCGGGGGAUUCGCAAGAACCUCGCGCGAUUGGAGCGGCUGAUAUCAGAUUAGGUAGUUGGUGAGGUAAAGGCUCACCAAGCCGACGAUCUGUAGCUGGUCUGAGAGGACGACCAGCCACACUGGGUCUGAGACACGGCCCAGACUCCUACGGGAGGCAGCAGUGGGGAAUUUUGGACAAUGGGCGCAAGCCUGAUCCAGCAAUGCCGCGUGCAGGAUGAAGGCCUUCGGGUUGUAAACUGCUUUUGUACGGAACGAAACGGUGAGCUCUAAUACAGUUUGCUAAUGACGGUACCGUAAGAAUAAGCACCGGCUAACUUCGUG